UUUCACUGACAUCCACAUUUUUGUUUCUAGUCCUUUGUUAAAAAAUGAACUGCACAGCAAAAGCAUGCGAGGAUAAGGAUUUCUGAACACCGCCAUGCACACCAUGGUGUUCCCAGCACUGAGCUAUUAAUGCAUCACUGCUGUCCUGCACUGGACGAAGGGGGAGAGACAGUUCAGAGGAGCAGCUGGCUAAGGAGAGCCCCAGGGAUGAGUUCACCUGGAAAGAAGAAAGCGAUAGCCUUCAGCACAUCCAGUCUCCUCUUGGCCCCCUGCACUGCCCUCCCAGGGAUCAGUCUGCUGCUGGACAUGCCACUAACUUCUAUGUCACUGACCACAAACUCAGCAGAGAUUCCACCUUUCAACCAUGAUGAAGUAAUGAAUACUAAAUUUCUAUCCAGCCAUAAUCAACUAUAAAACUGGAAAUUUUUAUGUAAAAACUGUUUCCAAUCAUUUGAGAAUAACCAUCAAAAAAAUUGUGAACAUUUAGGGGAAAAAAAAACCAAAACAAAAAACCCAGAGAUGUGCCCUAAAAGUGCCCUAGCUUUCUGAAUGGAGCUAAUUACUGGACCCUGGCCCACGGAGAAGUGGCAUAAGCAUGGUUUCAUAAUCUUGCUGAAUUGAAUACACAGAAAUUGGAGAUGAGGAAGUCUUAGAGAAUUGGUAUCUGGAAGGCAGAGUACUGACAAAGAAGAAGCUACUCAGAAAAAAAGCUCCAAGAAUCUACAAGGAUCACCAUGAUUCUUUCACUGAAUGCUAAAUUGCACAUGCACAGAAUGACUCCUUAAGGCCAGGCAAAGAACAACCAUUAAGGAAAUGCCAUUGCCAUAGAGCUGUAAGAUGGAAAACUCCCAGAAUUCUCAUAGGGUUGGGAAAGUGUGGGGUUUAACUAGCCAGACUGGAGAACCUCAUGGAACACACAUGGCAUUUUGCGUGACGCCAAAAGGGCCAUACAUCAGGAGUGAAACUGAGCUAAUCACAGUGUAGAGUCACUCUGGACCUUACCAGGGAUUCUUGUAGUCAUGCUAUGAUGAUUAAGUUGAUGAUUCUUUGAGGAUAAAGUAAUACUAAACGUGUGUGCACCUCGUAAUAUAGGGUCAUUACAUGUAAAACAAAGCUGACAGAAAAACAGAUAAAUCUACAAUUUUGGUAAAAUUAUUUCAUCUUUGCUCUCUCAGUAUUUGGGAAACUGAUUACAGAGAAAAUCUGAACAAGACUAUCAACCAAAAUGAUCUAACUGACAUUAAUAAAGCUUUACACCCAGCAACAAUGGGAUCCAUACCUUUUCCAAAUUGUUAUUUGAUUAAUUCCAGCAUCAAUUUUUUUUUUAAAUAAGGGGAAGAAAAAACUAUAUCAGAACUGGAUGAAACAUACAUGAAAGAAAAACUGUCUGGAGUGGGGCUGGGUGGAUGUUAAACAUGUACAUAAUUUUAUUUGCAAUUUAAAUGCUAUUAAUCACUUUUUAUUUUUUAAUAAUAAAAUAUUUAAUGAAAUGUAAAUUAAUUUGGAAAUGCCAUUUCAUUCCGGUGUUAUUCCAAUUUUUAUGAAGCUUGUUUCAGUCAGAAAUGGUCCAUGGCUGAGAAACUGUGCUUGUUCUUUAAGAGUCCUUUGAAAUAAAGCUGUUCCACAACUUGUAGAA